UGUGUGCCUAUGAUGGUGUUAAAUAUACUCCGAGAUUUGUUUCUAUGACAUCAACUUCCAACUGAGGCACUAC
rnacentral:snoRNA from 1 species